GGAGAAAUUCCAAUCGAACCCGGAGAUAGCUGGUUCUCCUCGAAAUAGCUUUAGGGCUAGCCUCAUGAGAGUCUUUUGGAGGUAGAGCACUGAAUUCCCGCGGGGGCGUCAAAGCUUACCAAAGGAUAUCAAACUCCGAAUGCCAGUAAGAUGAUUCAUGGGAGUCAGACUACACGAGAUAAGUUGGGUAGUCAAAAGGGAAAGAGCCCAGACCUGCAGCUAAGGUCCCAAAAUGUGUGUUAAGUGGAAAAGGAUGUGGGAUUUCAAAGACAACCAGGAUGUUGGCUUAGAAGCAGCCAUACAUUAAAAGAGUGCGUAAUAGCUCACUGGUCGAGAGGUCCUGCGCCGAAAAUGUCCGGGGCUGAAACACACUACCGAAGCUCAGGAAUUAACGUAGUUAAUUGGUAGAGGAGCAUUCUUAAAGGGAAGAAGCAGUACCGGAAGGAGCUGUGGACUUUUAAGAAGAGAGAAUGCCGGAAUGAGUAGCGAGAGGAAGGUGAGAAUCCUUCCGGCCGAAUAUCCAAGGUUUCCAGAGUAAAGCUGAUCUGCUCUGGGUAAGUCGGGGCCUAAGGCGAGGUCGAAAGACGUAGUCGAUGGAUAACAGGUGGAGAUUCCUGUACUAUGUGUACCCAGAACUGUGGGGACGCAUGUGGAGAGCACGAGCCGGGAAAGAGAAGACCGGUACAAGCGGGGUAGGAGUAAGGACAGCAAAUCUUCCUUACAAUCCGAAGACGUAAUGUGGACCGAACCAAAGUAGGGAAGCGUGUGAGCCAUGUGCCAAGAAAAGCCGCUAUUGUGAUACACAUACCCGUACCGUAAACCGACACAGGUGGAUGAGGAGAGAAUCCUAAGGCCGACGGAAGAAGCAUUGUUAAGGAACUCGGCAAAAUGACCCCGUAACUUCGGGAGAAGGGGUGCCCUGUGAAAGCAGGGCCGCAGAGAAUAGGCUCAAGCAACUGUUUAGCAAAAACACAGGUCUAUGCGAAACCGAAAGGUGAGGUAUAUGGGCUGACGCCUGCCCGGUGCUGGAAGGUUAAGAGGAGAGGUUAGCGCAAGCGAAGCUUUGAAUUUAAGCCCCAGUAAACGGCGGCCGUAACUAUAACGGUCCUAAGGUAGCGAAAUUCCUUGUCGGGUAAGUUCCGACCCGCACGAAAGGCGUAAUGAUUUGAGCACUGUCUCGACAAUGCAUCCGGUGAAAUUGAAGUACCAGUGAAGAUGCUGGUUACCUGCGCCAGGACGGAAAGACCCCAUGGAGCUUUACUCCAGCUUGAUACUGGGAUUCGAUACUGUAUGUACAGGAUAGGUGGGAGACGUUGAGCAUAGAACGCCAGUUUUAUGUGAGUCGCUGUUGGGAUACCACCCUUGCAGUAUUGGAUUUCUAACCUGCACCCAUGACCUGGGUGGGGGACAAUGUCUGGCGGGGAGUUUGACUGGGGCGGUCGCCUCCGAAAGGGUAUCGGAGGCGCUCAAAGGUUCCCUCAGAAUGGUUGGAAACCAUUCGAAGAGUGCAAAGGCAGAAGGGAGCUUGACUGCGACACCGACGGGUGGAGCAGGUACGAAAGUAGGACUUAGUGAUCCGGUGGUAUAAAGUGGGAUUGCCAUCGCUCAACGGAUAAAAGCUACCCUGGGGAUAACAGGCUUAUCACUCCCAAGAGUUCACAUCGACGGAGUGGUUUGGCACCUCGAUGUCGGCUCAUCGCAUCCUGGGGCUGUAGCAGGUCCCAAGGGUUGGGCUGUUCGCCCAUUAAAGCGGUACGCGAGCUGGGUUCAGAACGUCGUGAGACAGUUCGGUCCCUAUCCGGCGCGGGCGGAGGAUAUUUGAGAGGAGCUGUCCUUAGUACGAGAGGACCGGGAUGGACGGACCACUGGUGUAUCUGUUGGCUAUCAGAGCCAUGGCAGAGUAGCCAAGUCCGGCAGGGAUAAACGCUGAAGGCAUCUAAGCGUGAAGCCCCCCUCAAGAUGAGAUAUCCCAACGCAAGUUGUAAGACCCCUUGAAGACGACAAGGUAGAUAGGGCAGAGGUGGAAGUGCAGUAAUGCAUGGAGCUGACUGUUACUAAUCGGUCGAGGGCAUAACCAA
rnacentral:rRNA from 1 species